GACGAACGCUGGCGGCGUGCUUAACACAUGCAAGUCGAACGGAAAGGCCCUGCUUUUGUUCGGUUCUCGAGUGGCGAACGGGUGAGUAACACGUGAGUAACCUGCCCUUGACUUUUGGAUAACUUCACGGAACUGGGGCUAAUACCGGAUAUAAGCUCCUGCUGCACGGUGGGCGUUGGAACGUUUCGGCGUUUGGGUAUAGACUGGCGGGUUAUCCGCUUGUUGGUGGGGUAGUUGAAUCCCAAGGGUUUGACGGAUAGCCAGCAUGAGAGGGGUACCGGGAACAUUGGGACUGAGAUACGGCACAGAAGCCAACGGGAGGCAGAAGUGGGGAAAAUUGCAGAAUGGGCGGGAGCGUGGUGUAACAACGCGGGGUGCGGGAAAAUGGCCUAAGAGUUGUAAACCAAUGUCGCAUGAAAUGAACAGGGAGUGACGGUAAUGGGUAAAGAAGCAACGGCUAACUACGUG
rnacentral:rRNA from 1 species